GCGUCGCAACCGAGCUUCGUCCUCCCGUUAAUUGCAGUUAAUUAGAAUAUUUUAUCUAACGUACAUCCUGAUUUUAUAUACCGAUCGAAUGCCGAAAAAGCGAUUUUCGCGGGUGAAUUUAUUAACAUCGAUUACGCUCAACUGCGAAAUAUAACAUUCUACUGCGUUCCUUAACCUAACAACCAUACAAGCCAUCGUUAUUUUCGAUUAUAGAAUGGAAGGGGUACGACGUCUGGAUUUUCGUCAUCAAUUUUACUUAUUUACAAUAAUAAAUGGUGUUCGACACACAACGACGACUGAAUGGGAGAGGUACGACGUCUGGAUUUUCGUCUUUAAUUUUACUUAUUUACAAUAAUAAAUGGUGUUCGACACACAACGACGACUGAUCGAAACAACAAGCACGUGGGGAAGCCAUUGCAAAGCUGAUGUAAUGCACAUGCGCGACGAUACACAGCUUCCUUGUUGCCGCUUAAUCCGCCAUUCUGAAUUAGUUCGUGGCGUGUGUCGCAAGCCAGCUUCGUCCUCUCGUUGACUGCAGGACCUAAAUUCUGUGAAUUUGUUCGUCAGCGUUAACAACACAGUAUGGCCCGUUUUCCUAGAAAGAAGCAAGAUGGAUUCGGCUAGAGUUCAACAAAGUAGACGUCUUCCGUUUAAGUUUAUACAUUCAUUCUUCGAUUAAGCAGUGUUCUUUCAGCGAAACUUCUUUUAGUAAUUUGCCGUCAGAGUAUAUUUUUUGUUCGAUUGUACAUUUUUUGGGAAGUGCGUUUUAUAUACGUGGAAUAGUUGAUAAUUCGGAGUUCAUUCAAAUUGAAUAACGUUGAUGUAACAUUAUUUCUUUAAUUUUACAUUAGUGGAUUUUAUAUAGAUUCUUUCAACCUUCAUCGUCGUCAUGUGAUUAAUAAUCGACAUCAUCAGGAUAGGGAGGAGUUUUGCACGGUCGUCACCGCGCAGUUGAAUCUUUCUAGACGCAACCCACUUUUUAUCGAGCACGUGUUUAUGGUCGAGAUUUGUCUCGUACCAUUUUCUGUGCAUUUACGCUGGUUGCUCUGCCCUCGUCCAGCAUUAUAAAAUAACCGAGGACAUUCUACUCUCCUCCUUAUUUUUUAGACCUGCUUUAGAUGUCGUUAAUUGAUCUCACGUCGAGGACGAUCGAUGGGAAAAUCUAUGUACGCGAACGCGCUUAAUCUACAUUAUUUUAACGAGUCGUCUCGUCCGUCUUGGAAUAUCACUGCGAAAUAAAAAUUGUAGACUUUUCGUCGAUAGUACAUGACAGAACGAAUACUGCUUAAAUCACGGAGUGGAUGUAUCAUUCGACGGAUCGUUUCCUGAUUACUGUAAUGCGGUUGACAGUUCUUUAGCCAUCGAAAUGUUACAAGCACGUGGGGAAGCCAUUGCAAAGGUGACGUAAUGCGCAAGCGCGGCGGUCCACAGCCCCCUUGCUGCCUCAGAAUCCAUCAUUUUGAAUAAUUAUUGGCACGUGUUACGACCAAGCUUUUUUCUCUCGUUGAUUGCAGAAUGGAAGAGGUAGGACGUCCAGAUUUUCGUCAUCAAUUUUACUUAUUUACGAUAGUAAAUGGUGUUCGACACACAACAACGACUGGAUGUAGACGUGAUUUCUUUCGUUAUUGUUGACAUUACAUCGUGGCUAAUUUUCUUAAAAAUAAGCAAGAUGAAUUUAGUUACAUUCAAACAGAAUUGACAUCUUGACAGUACGAACGCUACUUAAAUCGUGGAAGGAAGCGUUCCUUGAUCUAACAACCAGCUAAGGAAUCAUUAUUUUCGAUGAUAGAAAGAAAGAAGUAUGAAGUUCAAAAUUUUCGUCAUCAGUUUUACUUAUCUAUGAUAAGCAAUGGUAUUGGACACAGGACGACAACUGAUAAGCAAUAGUUGACAUAUAUUAUUAUUUAUUUUCACGUUACCCUUUACGAUAACGUUUAGCUAAUUCUACAUUUAUUUUUUCAGGGUAUAGGCAUUGCGAUUUCGUCCGUUAUUGUUAACAAUGCAUCGUGGCCCGUGUUCCUUGAAAUAAGCAUGGUGAAUUUAGUUACAGUCGAACAGAAUUGACAUCUGUUUACACAUUCAUUCUUCGAUUAAACAGUGUUCUGUUAACGAUACUUCUACAUCGGAGUAUAUUUUUCUUCCGAUUACAUUUUUCAUUUAAUAUACAUCGAGUAGCUGAUAAUUCAAAGUUUAUUCAAGUUGGAUAACGUUAUCGUAACUUCAUUCCUUUAAUCGAUGAAAAAAUCUAUGUAAGCGAACGCGUCUUAAAUAACACUAUUUCAACGAAUCAUAUGGUCUCUCUUGAAAUAUCGCUGCGAAAUAGAAACGAUAGGCUUUUCGUCGAUAGUAUACGACAGAACGAACACUGCUUAAAUCGAAAUAUAUGUGUUAAUUGGGUCGUGGAUUCCCGGAUAGCAGUUCCCAAGUAUCACGCUCGUUAGAGCAAGAUGGUUCUUUAUUCUCUUGUCUGAUGAGGAAUACUUAACAUUUUGAUAUUUUUAUUAUAACACUAUUUUUAUUAACUUUGUUAAUUUUUUUUUUUUUUUUCUUUUAGGAAGCCUAUGUUGCAAUUUCGUUCUACUGUUUGAAUACGGAUAAAAGAACAAUUCAACGCUCUAGUUGGAAAUGGUCUUUGUAAAAUUGCGACUCAUGGAAAGCCUCCUUCCUCUAGGAUCUAUCAUGAAUGUGAAGAUGAGAAAGGAAAGGAAAGGAGCCAGGAAGAUGCGAUGGAAGCAAUAACGAAGGAUGGAACCUUGAAGAAUCUUCCAUUGGGUUAAAAUCAGCAGGAAAACAACGCUUCCUUCAUUUUACCGAACCGAAAGAAGACUCGCCUCUCCUUCGUGCGUAUUGCUUCUUUAAAUCUGCUUAAGCUCCAACGUUCUACGUAAUUCUCGGCGAUUUUGCGCACCCCUAAGCGUUUCUGCGUGACACCCUAAGCGAUCCUGCGAUACCCUAAGCGUUUCUGCGAUACCCUGAGCGUUUCUGCGAUACCCUGAGCAUUUCUGCGAUACCCUGAGCGUUUCUGCGAUACCCUGAGCGUUUCUGCGACACCCUCAGCGUUUCUGCGACACCCUCAGCGUUUCUGCGACACCCUCAGCGUACCUGCGCAAUCCCUAACGUCGUAUUCUGUUCAAUUCUCAGCGUUUUGCGUAACCACCAGCAUUUCAAACGAUUCCUCUGCUUUAGUCUUGCGCAUAAUUGCGAUGUUUUACGAAAAAUUACAAGACAGAAACAAAUUUGUUAAAAUCAUUGUUAUAAUAUUGUUGGAGUUUAUAGAGCGUUGAAAAAAAGAAACUUCAAUUGGAAGGUAGUACAUCAGUUGAUUUUUUUUUUCCGGAAUGUUAACAUAAAAUUGUUUUAUACUUCACAAGAUAUUACGUGCGGUGCAACGUUUAAGCGGUUGUAUUAUUGUUUAAAUCUUAUUUUAUAUCGACCAAUCGUAUAUUAUAGAUUCUUUAAAUAAUUGUAAAGUGAUAGAAAGCAUACAUAAAUUUGAUGCGUUAAGAGAAUUUUAGACCACCGUCGGGCGUAUCGAAAAUCGUCGUCCAGUAUUUAUCCGUAACAACAAACAUCUUUUUAGACAAUUCUUAGGAUAUCGCGUGACCCCAGCUUCGCGAAUAAUUGAAAUGCUCAUAUACUAAAAAAGAAAAAAUAUUAUUUUUAUCAUUGUAAUAAGAAAGCGUCGAAAAAAAAGAAGCUUAAAUAGAAGGCAGUAUGUAAGCAGAUUUCUGUUCUGCGAAACGUUCGAUUAAAAUUAUUUUCUACGUACUACGUGCGGUAUAAAGCUUGAGCGGCGGGGUUGUAUUUUGUAAAUAUUAGUUUGAUACUACCGAGCGUACAUAUGUAGCGUACAUUGCUUAAAUGAUUGUAAAACGACAAAAAAUAAAAAUGAUCUAGGUUUAGCGCGGUUCAACGCGGUCCAACGCGUGUACCGGAAAUUUUAGGGCAUGGUAGAGCGUUUCAACUACCGUGAAUCCAUUCGUGCGUAAUUAAGCGUGUUGCGUAAUUCCGAACAGAUUGGCGUAACCCUUAGAAAUAUUGCGUAAACCCCUAACCCUUAUUUAGGUAAAUUCUCUGGCUCUGCCAGACGCAACCCAGCGAUUUCGCCCACUACGUGGUUUGGUUGUAAGUAUCCAUUUGGCAAGUUAUGGUUUUUUACACGUAAGUCCUGUCGAUGUUUCGCAACGUCCAACGUGGACACCCAGAGUUUUGUCUUUUUCAGGUUAUGUGCAACCUCGGAGUUAUUUAUUUACCUACAUACUAUCGAGAUUACUGAAGCGAUGGUAUUUUUUUUUGCAUAAUGUUAAGGGCAUUGCGUCGUUUUGAACGAAUGCGCGUAAUCAGCAGGUUUUUUUUUUUAUGAAGCCCACCGUAUCUAUAUAAUCCUUACAGAUUUUGUGUAAACCUUGGCGUGUAUUCAGCCGAACUUCUGUGGUCUAACUUCGGCGUAAUCCAGACGCGACCCAAUGAUUUGCAGUAAGUAUUUUUCUCACUUAAUGCCUUUAUGUUCGUUCCGUAAUUCUACGCGUGUUGCGUAAAUUGCAUAGUAUCUGCAACCCGCAGCUCAUUUUCUUGAUACCAGCGAAGUUAUUUAAACUGCGGCAUUUUUUUUUUUUCAUAGUUCGGGAUGUUUUCGUUUCAUCCGAAGAAUCCGCGUUUUUAUAUAGCCUAACGUCUCUGUGUGAACCGUGGAGUGUAUUUAGCUUCAUUUUAGCGUGUCUACUUAACUCUAACGUUUCCACAUUAUCACUUGGUUAUCGACCGUAUUUUUUUUUUUUACGUGAUUUCUAUUCGUCGCGUAAUUCGCGUAUAUUGUAAUUUGGAGGGUAUUUAGAACCCUAGCUUAUUUUCCAUGAUACUUGAUGGGUUACUUACCCGACAGAAUAUUUGCAUAGUCCCAGGGGUACUCCUUUCGAUGAAUCGUUGGAAUGUCUAACUUUUUUUUUACAACGCCAAGCGAUUUUGCGAAACGUUUGCACGAUAUGAAAGCCCUAGUGUAACGUAUUGUUACAUAACGAUCCCGAGAUUUGUCGAAAGUACUUCUAAUUUUUCUUUUUUCAUAAUCCUUGUCGGGGGUUCUUCUUUUUGACAUUCUUAACAGCUGCGUUAUUCAUAGAAUACUCUAAGCAGCUUAUUUUCGUAGAUACUAGCUAGGUUACUGAAACGACAGCAUUUUUUCUUUUUUCUUUUUUUUUUUUGCAUAAUCUGUGGGGCACUCGCGUUAUUUCCGACGAAUCUGCGUAAAUACUAGGGUUUUCAGGAAAUGCAGCGUUUCUGUGUAAUCCUUGUAGAUUUGGCGUCGGUAAUAGGGCGUAUUUAGGUGGCCUCCGAGAAUGCGGUGUAACCCGAUUGUUUCCGCAUUACCACCCUGUGAUUUCGCGUAAGUACUUGCCUUUGUACGUAAUACUUGUGUAAAUUCCUGUCGGUUUUCGAUAACUCGUAGAUGACCGUGUAGUUCCGUGUAUUUACAACUGUCGGCUUAUUAAUCGAAGAUAUUACCGAGGUUAUAUGAUCGACUGCAUUUUUUUUUGCAUAAUCUGUGGGGCACUCGCGUUAUUUCCGACGAAUCUGCGUAAAUACUAGGGUUUUCAGGAAAUGCAGUGUUUCUGUGUAAUCCUUGUAGAUUUGGCGUCGGUAAUAGGGCGUAUUUAGGUAGCCUCCGAGAAUGAGGCGUAAUAGGAUUGUUUCCGCAUUACCACCCUGUGAUUUCGCGUAAGUACUUGCCUUUGUACGUAAUACUUGUGUAAAUUCCUGUCGGUUUUCGAUACUCGUAGAUGACCGUGUAGUUCCCGUGUAUUUACAAGUGUCGGCUUAUUAAUCGAAGAUAUUACCGAGGUUAUUUAAUCGACUGCAUUUUUUUUUGCAUGAUCCGCGGGGCACUCGUUAUAUCUGACGAAUUUGCGUAACUACUAGCAUUUUCAUAAAGUCCGGCAUUUCUGCGUAACUUACAGAUUUUACAAAAAUCUAAGUACGCAAUCUACAGAGUGGGACAUAACCCCACUGUCUUCGCUUUACCAUCCGGUGAUUAGAAGUAUUUGUCCGUUUUCUUUUUAGGUAAUCUCUCGGUUUUUCAAUAAUUCCUAACGUACCGACGUAGUUCCUAGGUUUAUCAGCAAUACCCAGGUUAUUUUCUUAGAUACUAGCAAGGUUACUUAAACGACAUUUUUGGCCUCCGAGCUUUCUCCGUAAUCUCAUUUUUUUCCGCAUAACCAUCUCGUGAUUUCGCUCAAGUAUAUUGUUUUUCCGUAAUGGAUGUCGAUUUUUCCUAACUCCUAGAUGACCGUGUAAUUUCCAGAAUAUCUGUAACGAUCAGCUUAUUAAUUCUAGAUAUUAACGAGGUUAUUUAGUCGAUAGCAUUUUUGAAUAGUCCCUGAGGCGGUUGCAUUAUUUACGUAGACUAUACGAACUACCAGCAUCUUUAUAAAGCUCAUCGUUUCUGGGUAACCCUUACAGAUUUUGGCUUAUCCGACUGGCGAUUUGAAGUUAUCCGUAGUACCCAUCUUAUUUCCCUAGAUUCUAGAGAGGUUACUUAAACGACAACAUCGUUGCAUAAUCCCAGGGGCAUAUUCGUUAUUUCCUACGAAUCAAGUAACGACCAGCGUCUUCAUAAAGUGCAGCAUUUCUGUAUAUCUUCAUAGAUUUGUCGUCAAUCCUAGAACGUAUUUAGGUGGCCUCCGAGCGUCAGGCGUAACGUCAUAGUGUCCGCAUAAGCGAAUAAAUUUGUUUUUACCUAA